UUGGUCCCCCACCUAAAUAUAUUAGGGGGCAUGUGACAGAAUUCCUAGAUGUAGAUGUUGAUAGGAUGUCUUAUUUUGAGUUGAGGGACUACAUAAAGGAACUACGAUAUACAGUAGAUUAUGAUUUUUUCAUUAAGUGGGAUGGGUUAUUGGUCCUUGUUGAUAAUGAUAAGGUUAUAUUUGACCUUUUCAAUAUGAUAAAUGAUGGGGAUACAGUGGAGGUGUAUGUUUUUCAUGGGGUUAGUGAAGCUAAUGAGGCUCCACUUGAAUUGGAGUUUGUCCCCAAUGUGAGUGAUAGUGGGGUAGGUGAGGAAAUCUUUUAAUGAGGCUUCUAACCCUAAUAAUCAGCCUCCUACUUCUAUUUUUCCUUUCAUCCUUACAACUGGUCCUUCUGAAACUUCCAGCAGUCCAUUUAAAGACUAGUCUACUACUGUGCCUCCAUUAUCUCCUUCUACUGUGCCUCCUUCUUCCACUAUGCCUCCACCCUCUCCUCUACUGUGCCUCCUCCUUCCUUCGAUCCUAUAAUAGAUAAUGAUCCAACUGAUGAUGAAGUAAAAGAUGAACCAGGAUCUGAAGGGGAUACUAAUGAAGAUACUGAGGUUAACAGUGAUGUCCAUCAAGAGUAUUUAGAUAUAAGGACAACCAAGAGGCAUUUCAAAAGGUCACAAAGGAGAAGUAGAGGUACUACUUUAGAUCAGAUUAAUGUUGAUGAAAAAGGUCCAGAUAUAGGGUAUGAUGAGGCAAAUAUUGGUAUUAGGGAAAGCUUAGUUGGUAAGCUAGGAGGUGAUGAGCCUUACUAUCUAAGUGAUGAAAUCUCCUAGCUUUGAAAUAGAUGAUGAAAUAGGUUGGGGAGAUGGUGAUGAGGUUGAUCAAGUAUGCAUAAACCUGUUAGGAGGAGGAAAAUCCCAAAUAGAGUUGUGUUUGAUGCAACUUCUGAAAAGAUUGGUUGGGAAUUAGGACUGGUUUUUGGAACUAUUGAAGAAUUUAGAGUGACAGUGACAAGAUAUGCAGUCCAAGAACAUAUUCAAAUUGAAAAAUAUGUGAAUGAGCCUGGCAGAGUUAGAGUGAGAUGUUGUAAAGAGACUUCUCCUUGGUUGUUGUGUGCAAGUAAGGAUAGAACUAGUGGAGAUUUCAUUGUUAAAACAUACAACCCUGUCCAUAAAUGUUUGACAUCAACUCAUAACUAUCUUUGCAACUCAAAAGUUUUUGGCCACCAAAUACAAAGAAAGAAUAACUCAACAGCCAUACAUCAGCAUUGUGUUGUUGCAUGACAUUAUUAGAAAGGAGUUAGAUAUUAAUGUUGGUAGGACAACAGUGAGAAGAGCUAGGACUAGAUUGUUACAAGAGAGCAUGGGUGAUCACAUUGUGGAGUAUGGUAAGAUUUUUUAUUAUAAAGAUGAAAUUUUAAAGAGUAAUUCAGGUAGUAGUUGUGUAGUGAAGGUUGGAGAAGAAGAUGAAACUGGGCAAAUUUUUUUUGAAGGAUUUUAUGUUUGUUUCAAUACUUUAAAUAAAGCAUUUUUUGGAGGUGUUAGGAGGUUGAUUGGUUUUGAUUGGCGUUUUCUCAAAGGUGUGUGUAAAGGCCUGUUGUUAGUGGCAGUUUGUAGAGAUGGAAACAACCAAAUGCUGCCUAUUGCUUGGGCAGAUGUUGAGGUUGAGAAUCAGUUUACCUGGACAUGGUUUCUUAAACUAGUGAAGAAUGAUCUUGACCUUGGAGAAGGGCGUCAACUAUCCAUCAUUACUGAUAUGCAAAAGGGACUAGAAAUUGCUGUAUAAAAUGUAUUGCCACUGGUUGAACAUAGAAAAUGUGCAAGACGUGUUCUUGCAAAUUUGUGUAAAAACUGGAAAGGAGUUGAAAGAAGAAGAAUGUUUUGAAGGAUUGCAAAAUCCACAUUUGAAGCUGAGAUGAAGGAUAAUAUACAGGCAAUGAAGAAAUUAGGACAAGAAUGUUUGGAUGAUCUUUUAUGGUACAACUUGAAUACAUGGUGCAAGAAGUAUUUUCAAGACUAGCAAAUGUGAUGUUGUGGACAACAAUAUGGCAGAAAGCUUUAAUACUUGGAUACGGCCUGAGGAUCAUCACAAUGCUUGAGGAGAUAAGGGUGAAGAUGAUGAAAAGAAUUGGUGAUUUGAGAGAGUUCUCAAACACUUUGAUCACUGAUAUAUCUCCUAUGUCUUUAAAGAUUUUGCAAGAAAAUAUUGAAAAGUCUAUGCAAUGUAACUUGACUUGGAAUGGAGAAAGAGGUUUUGAGAUUAAACACCAUGGAUUUACACAUACUGUGGACAUUGUUAGUAGGAGUUGUAGUUGCAGAUCCUGGCAGCUCAGGGGCAUUCCUUGUCCUCAUGGUGUUGCUGCCCUUCAUUACAAGGAGUUGGAACCAAUUCAUUAUGUGGCUAGUUGUUAUAGCAAUGAAACCUACCUCAACACAUAUGCCCAUUUUAUUCAGCCAAUGAAUAACAUGAAAAUGUGGCCAACAUCAAAUAAUCCAAUUGUAAAACCACCAAAGAUCAAGAAGUUGCCUGGAAGACCAGGUAAGGUUAGAAGAAAGGAAGUAGAUGAAAGUAGAAAAACUGGAAAGCUUAGCAAAAGAGUUGUUGUUAUGACUUGUAGCAAAUGUGGUAUACAAGGACACAAUAAAAGAGGAUGUCCUACAAGAAAUCAAGCUGGUCCAAGUCAAUCAACUGAACCAUCUUCUCAGGCAAGAGGUACUGGUCCAAGUCAGUCAGCUGAACCAUCUUUUCAGACAGAGGUACUUUUAUUUGUUACUUUCAAAUGUAAGUUAUAUGUACAUGCAUUUACAUAUUAACAUACAGACUACUAAAAGUGGUAGAGGAAGAGGCACAUGAAGAGCAGGAGGCAGAGCAAGGGCUAGUAGUUCAACUCAACCACAUAAAGAUUCUUCACAGGCCACCACAAAUAAUGAAAGUGGUAGAGGAAGAGGCACAUGAAGAGCAGGAGGCAGAGCAAGGGCUAGUAGUUCAACUCAACCACAUAAAGAUUCUUCACAGGCCACCACAAAUAAUGAAAGUGGUAGAGGAAGAUGCAAAGGAAGAGUUUCAAGUUUUAUAGGUGUUCCAACUCAAUCACAUGGAAUUGCUUCAAACACAGAGAAUUGGAUUGUUACUUAAUUUUCUUGACCACUUUGAAGGCGUCUCCUCUAUACUCUUGAUUAUAUCUCUCUUUUCAUAACCGGAUUGUUUGUACAAGUUAAAAGCAACAAUUGUAGACAUGCUGAAUAAAGUGCAUGGUAUGAGAUACUACUUACGACUUGAAGUGUGUGGUGGAGAACUACGUGCCUGAGUUAUACUCUUUGAAAAGGCUAAAUAUUUACUAAGUUGCAGCGUGCAAGACUACAAAGAAUCAACCUCAAUAAAUAUAUGAACGGUAUUUAUAUCUAAACACCUUAACGCCCAAUGGACUCCGCCGCAUAGGUAUGUUGUCUAAUCCAUCCUAACUUUUACAGUUAUCUUAUUGUGAUACUUCAUAGCACAAAAGAGAAGAAAAGAAUUACACGAUUACAUAUACAUAAAAUUUGAUGAUUCUUUUAAUUUUACACAUUAGGUUAGUUUUGAAAGAAAAUGCGCCCAUGAGAAAACUGGACCCCUCAAAAGGCUUAUGCAAUGGGACAUAGUUGAUUUGUAGAGGUUUUGACGAGAAUGUCAUACAUGCAGAAAAAAAACAGGUCAAUAUUCUACAAACAAGAUAUUUACUCCAACAAUACAACUAUAACCACCCCCUUCCCCUUUUUAAGCAGAUACUACUUAUGACUUGAAGUGUGUGGUGGAGAACAGCGUGCCCGAGUUAUACUAUUUGAAGCGGCUAAAUAUUUACUACGCCGCAGUGUGCAAGAUUACAUAGAAUCAACCUCGGUAAAGAUAUGAUAUGUAUUUAUACCUAAACACCGUAAUGCUCAAUGGACUCCGCGGCAUAGGUUUGUUUUGAAAGAAAAUGCACCCAUCAUGCUGCUGAGAAAACUGGACCCCUCAAAUGGCUUAUACAAUGGGACAUGGUUGAUUUGUAGAGGCUUUGACGAGAAUGUCAUACAUGCA